GACGAACGCUGGCGGCGUGCUUAACACAUUCAAGUCGAACGGAAAGGCCCUGCUUGCAGGGUACUCGAGUGGCGAACGGGUGAGUAACACGUGGGUGAUCUUCCCUGCACUUCGGGAUAAUCCUGGGAAACUGGGUCUAAUACCGGCUAGGAGCCAUUUUUAGUGUUAUGGUUGGAAAGUUUUUUCGGUGUAGGAUGAGCUCGCGGCCUAUCAGCUUGUUGGUGGGGUAAUGGCCUACCAAGGCGGCGACGGGUAGCCGGCCUGAGAGGGUGGACGGCCACAUUGGGACUGAGAUACGGCCCAGACUCCUACGGGAGGCAGCAGUGGGGAAUAUUGCACAAUGGGCGCAAGCCUGAUGCAGCGACGCCGCGUGGGGGAGGACGGCCUUCGGGUUGUAAACGCCUUUCGCUAGGGACGAAGCUUUUUGUGACGGUACCUAGAUAAGAAGCACCGGCUAACUACGUG
rnacentral:rRNA from 1 species